AAGUCGUAACAAGGUCUCCGUUGGUGAACCAGCGGAGGGAUCAUUACAGAGUUUAACAACUCCCAAACCCAUGUGAACUUACCUUUGUUGCCUCGGCGGAAGCUGGGAGCACCUACCCUGUAGCUGUGCCCCCCUCUCCCGCCGGUGGACCAUCAAACUCUUGUUAUUUAUUGACAUCUGAGCGUCUUAUUUUAAUAAGUCAAAACUUUCAACAACGGAUCUCUUGGUUCUG
rnacentral:misc_RNA from 1 species